rnacentral:rRNA from 1 species
AGGACGAACGCUGGCGGCGUGCUUAACACAUGCAAGUCGAGCGGAAAGGCCUUUCGGGGUACUCGAGCGGCGAACGGGUGAGUAACACGUGAGUAAUCUGCCCAUCGCUUCAGGAUAGCCACCGGAAACGGUGAUUAAUACUGGAUAUGACAUUCCUUCGCAUGUUGGGGUGUGGAAAGUUUUUUCGGCGGUGGAUGUGCUCGCGGCCUAUCAGCUUGUUGGUGGGGUAAUGGCCUACCAAGGCUUUGACGGGUAGCCGGCCUGAGAGGGUGACCGGCCACACUGGGACUGAGACACGGCCCAGACUCCUACGGGAGCAGCAGUGGGAAUAUGGACAAUGGGCGAAGCCUGAUCCAGCAACGCCGCGUGAGGAUGACGGCCGUUCGGUUCGUAACCUCUUUCAGCACAGACGAAGUUUGUCUUUUUUGGUGUAAGUGACGGUAUGUGCAGAAGAAGACCGGCAACUACGUGCCAGCAGCCGC